AAUGACCCAAGAAAGUCUGAAGGCUGAUUGCCCUGGGUAAGGAUCUGAUCCAAGGAAGAGCUGGAAUUUCUGGAGAGCCCUGAGGUGCUGUAUCUACCACAGACUAUGGUAACAAAGUCAUAUAAAUUAACUUCACACCAGAAAACUUGUUAAGCAAGUAGAAUAAGGGGCAUCGGAAGAUGCAGGGGGAGCCAUCCCUCACCCAUCACAAAGUCAAGGUCAGCUAAGUCAAGUUCGGCGGCUCAGAGACCAUCCCACAACUGCAUUCGUAGUACCACCACCAACCCCCCAGACUCCGAUCUUCCUGGACUCACAUCUCCAAGGCUCAGGAAGGUGGGCGAGCAUCACGAGCAGGAAGCAAGCGAGAGGCAGAGCGGCAGUGGCAACUAAUCGAAUCCUCCGGCCCCGCCCUCCCGACCGGGGAACGCGCAGCCGAACCUGCUACCCAUCCGAGCGACGGCGACCCGGACCGCCUCAGCCAAUGGGGGAGCUCCUCCAAGUCCCGCCCCCGGCGAGGCCCGGCCCCUCCUGCUUCGGAGAGAACCUAUGCGGGUAGCGGCUCCCUUUCCUUCUCUCCCUACUUUUUCUCUCUCGCGCUCUCUAGAUUUCUCUCCUUCUCCUCCUCUCUUCGCCAUCGAUACUCACGCCCCCAGGACCUGAAUUUUUUUUUUCUUAUUUUACACACACACACCCCCACAAAACAUACACAUUCUCUUCAGACUCACCGCGGGGGCGCGCUUGCGAGCUCUCGCGGCGUCGCUCGCGCUAGGUUUGGUUGA
rnacentral:lncRNA from 1 species